GACUCCUACUUAAUUUCAAAGUUCCACAAUUUUUUCUUACAAGGACAAAAGUGGGCAUUCAUCUCUAAUCCUUUCUCAUGCCAAUACUCUGGUUCUAAACCCCACAUCACAGAUGGGAAAGUGGAGGCUCAGCUUGUGGUGGUGGUGUCCUGUGAGCUGUCUCCUUCCAGCAGCGCCCCCACCAGGGUUUGCCUCCUGCUUCUCCCCUUCCCUCAGCUCAUCCCAGCACCAUAAAAAUGAAGCAUCCUCUGUCCUUUCUGGACACCAGAGACACCUUUUGAGGAGAAGUGGGUUUUCUGGCUUUUUCUCUGUCCCUGGCCCAGAAGCAGGACACUUAUCCAUAUUGACUUGAGUAUCUAAUAAGUAGCACGUAAGUCAGAACCAACCUAAUUAACAAGGGCACUUGUGUUAAUAAGCACCUUUCAAUCCAUGCAGGGAGCUAACACACUCAGAAUACAAAGGGAAGAAAAGACAUUAUCUUGAAAUGCCUGGGCUCCCACCUAGGCUGAGCCUCAUGAAGUCAUUAUGGGUAAUUAUGGGCUAUUACAUGCUAUCACCUUGGCAAGACAACUACCCUCAAUUGCCUAGAGUCACAGGUCCCUCAAGUCCGGGAAGUGACUUUAGAGAUUAGGACCUAAAGGCUUGGUGGCUUCCCUCUCACUGUCUCCUGGAUCUCUCAUUCUGGUGGGAGUUAGGCGCCAUGUCAUGAGGACAUUCAAGGAGCCCUCUGGGGAGUUCCCAUUGUGAGGAGCUGAGGCUUCCUGACAACAACCAACACCAACUCGCCAGGAGAGGAGAAGAGCAGAAGACAAGGGAAGCAGAUCAGGUUUGUAGGUAUUAUCUCCAAUGUACCUGUGAAGAAACUAAGGCCUGGAAGAGUUCAGCGAUUUGCCUACAGUAACACAGCAAGUAAGUUACGAGACCAGGUUUUCCAACUUCAAAGCCUGUACUCUUUAUAUUCCCUGUCAGCGGAAGAUAAAAGUUUUGCGGGGCCUGAAGUAUGCACAUCUAAGGUGGCUGUAUUAGUUUUCUAUCACUGCUAUAACAAAUUACCACAAACUUUGUAGCUUUAGACAACACAAAUUUCUCUUACAGCUCUGUAGUUAAAAGGUCCAGACAGGACUCACUGGGCUAAAUAAAACUCAAGCGUCAAGAGGGCUGUGUUCCCUUCUGGAGGCUCUGGGAAAAAAUCAGUUUCCUUGUCUUUUCCAGCUUUAGAGACCAUCUGCAUUCCUUGAGUUGUGGCUUCUUCCUCCAUCUUCAAAACCAGCAACAACAGAUAAGUCCUUCUUAGAUUGCUUCACUCUGACCUCCUCUCUGUCACCUUCUUCCAUUUUAAGGACUCUUGAUUAUACUCGGUUCACCCAGACAAUCCAGGAUAAUCUCCCUAUUUUAAGGCCAGCUGAUUAGCAACAUUAAUUCUAUCUGUCACCUUAAUUAUCCUUUGUCAUAUUACAUAACAUAUUCACAGGUUUCAAGGAUUAAAACAUGGACAUCUUUGGGAGGGGGUGCUUAUAGUGUCCACCACAGCGGCCCUCUUCAAGAAAAGAAUAAAAAGUUAAAAUUAUAAAAUUAGAUACGAUC
rnacentral:lncRNA from 1 species